GGUCACAGUUAUUUUGCUUAUCCCUACCCCUUAGAUUCAAAAUGGAACCAGGGAUUCCCUUUCCUAAUAAAUAGAGAGGGGGCGACAGAUUUGCUUGAGAUCGGAUUUGGACAUCUGUACAAAGCAUCUCCGUUCGAUCUCCUUGCAAGAUUAUUUGAAAAUCAAUCUCAUUGUUGUCUCUCCUUCUUGUGUUGUUAAUGAAUGUUUUAGGUGUUUGAACCUGACAUUUAAUUGGUCCUUCGAGCCGGAUCCCAACAUACAGGAGGAUUUCCUCUGGGUGAGGUGAACCGGGUGAAAAGUCAGUGAUCACUGCAUUCAGAUCCUUUUCCAAGGGCCUAGUCCAUCUCGCCUCUGGGUUUCUGACUGUUGACGGGAAGUCCGAGGGAGGAUUGACAGCAGUGGUGAGUGGAUUUGUUUUUUUAAAGGUAUAAAUGAGUACCUGAGAGGUAUUGCGCAUAGAAGGGAUAACGGAGUCCGAGAAAGUCCGUGAUAACAAACCCUAUCAUCCUUGGCACUGAUAGGUACACUAAGGGGUAACAGAGCCCAAAAGGUCUGUGAAUCGAAGGGGUAACAGAGCCCAAAAAGUCUGUGUAGAAAAAAACAAAGUAGGAUAACGGCAUCCUGAUAAUAGGCCGUGUAAUUCGAGUAUAGGGCGGCAGAGUCCUACAAAACUAACGUCUGCAUUGUGUGUUUGUGUGUUUUGUGUGUAUGACUGGAAAAUUAAAUACCACUAGGUAUUUUCUUUUCAUUUAAAAACAGUGGGAUUGUAAGUAACAAGCCUUUGUGGAGGUCUAGCAAGAAUUCUCCACUCGAAAGAGUUGAAGUGAGAAUUACCACAACAGGUAUUUUAUUGUUACCCCACGGUGUAAAUCUCCCAGCCUAUAGAACACCCUAUGUGUUACAGGACUGGAUCAAAUUUAUAAAAAUGGGAAAGGGACAAAGGAAAACGUUGAAACAGCUCCAGAGUAAAGACUGGAAAUUCAUUGAACAGCAGGACCCUGAUAAAAUAAAACCUUUAGCUUCAUGGGUAAAAGAAUACAAUGCAGGUUUAAGGGGUGAUUUAACAAACAAAAAUAGCUAAAAUUCUAGGAAGGUAUUAUUAAUAAAUGAAGAGAUUUAAAAGGGGAUCCCACAGAAACAAUUUGUGAGUCUUUGAAAAUACAGCGGUUAGUCAAGGAGGUAUUUAAAGGUCCCGUAGAGAAAAAAAAAACAAAAAAAACAAAGUGUCGCAGAAGACUCUUUUCGCGCAAGCUGUCUGUCUGAUAUGUUUUUGUUUUUGUUAUAUCUUGUCCAAUGUAAUGUGUCGUUUAAUGGGAUCAUUGCAUGAAAGGAGAGAAUGUUUGAACCCACAGCGCUUGAGAGUGUGUGUGUGCGCGAGUGGGUCUGUGUGUGUAAAUCUGCGUAUAUGUGUGUGCGUAUGUGUGGCUCAGAAUAGCGUCUGAGUGAAGAGAUUUACAGUGGAAAGUACUGUGUGGAGUUGAUCUUCGUGAAGGGAGAAUUUGGCCAGAAUAGUGGUAAAAAGUUAUUAUAGUUGAUAUUUGGCAGGGGAUUAAACAUUUCUUUGAGACAACUGAAAAAGAAAAAAGAAAAAUAUAUAUAUUUUUUUGUACAAGCAUAAUUUUAACUAGUGUCAUUUAUUGCAAAAUUGCAUAUUAAGAAUCCCAAAUGAGCUUUAAUACUUUGAGUAAUAAAAAGAUAAAAUACAAGAUUCAUUGAAAUAAUAAAAUUAAUAGUUUGACAGCCUUAGUUUAGAGAUAAUACACCAGACUUAUAUCUUGUUGAAAAAAGAAAAGCGACAAUUGAAGAAAAUUAAUAAAAAAAGGAAACGGAAACGGAACUAAAAGGGCGUUGCACCCGGGAAGCGUUUACAUGGGGGGACUGACUAGACACUUCCGUUGUGGAUAAAAGUGUUCUGAACUGCUAAUAGCGACGUAUAACUUUCAAAAAUGGAUAAGCGUCCAGGUGUCUGCAAGACAAAGAGUUGCACCCUUGCGGGACUGAAGCGUAAAACGGUGUUUGGACGAAACACAGGGGGGUCUUAGCCAGCGCACGCUUUCCACUUUUUAAACUAAGCGGGAACUUAACACGUUGAAAACAUCUUUCAGCGUUGCCAUUGAUGUUUUGAAAAAUAUUAAAAACAUAGAUCUGUCUGUGUAAGAUAAUG